UACGGCUACCUUGUUACGACUUAGUCCCAGUCACCAAGCUCACCGUCGGCCGCCGCCUCCCUAAGGUUAGCUAAACGGACUUCGGGUGCUCCCAGCUUCCAUGACUUGACGGGCGGUGUGUACAAGGCUCAGGAACACAUUCACCGCGUCGUGGCUGAUACGCGAUUACUAGCGAUUCCAACUUCAUGGAGUCCAGUUGCAGACUCCAAUCCGAACUGAGACGACCUUUGUGCGAUUUGCUCCACCUCGCGGUAUCGCGUCGCUCUGUAGCCGCCAUUGUAGCACGUGUGACACCCUGGGCAUAAAGGCCAUGAUGACUUGACGUCAUCCCCACCUUCCUCCGGCUUGACGCCGGCAGUCUCGCUAUAGUCCCCGGCAUGACCCGCUGGUAACUAGCAAUAAGGGUUUCGCUCGUUAAGGGACUUAACCCGACACUUCACAGCACGAGCUGACGACAGCCGUGCAGCACCUGUGCACGUUUCACCCGAAGGCAGCAUAGCCGGCUUUCACCGGUGCAUCCGUGCAUGUCAAACCCAGGUAAGGUUCUGCGCGUUGCUUCUAAUUAAUCCACAUGCUCCACCGCUUGUGUGAGCCCCCCUCAAUUCCUUUGAGGUUUAGCCUUGCGGCCGUACUCCCCAGGCGGCGCACUUAAUGCUUUCCCUACCGGACCAACAGUGUCAGAAAUACUGAUACCUUAAU
rnacentral:rRNA from 1 species